rnacentral:lncRNA from 1 species
UCUUUAAUUUCCAUUAAAUUGUUAUUCUGACUUGGUGCCUCCCACUGGUUUGUUUUCAAACUAGCACAUAAUUUGGCGCCCAACGUGGGGCAGCUCUGAGAGAAAGUCAGAAUUACAAUUUUGUGUUAACGGAAACCUAUUCACCAUGGUGCUCAGCUUGUCUAUGUGGGUACUGUAUCUUGCUCUCUAUAUUUUUCCUCACAUGGGGAACUACCUGCCUGUAGUAUUACUCCUGUUAAAACCAGGGAAUGGUAUGAGAAUUGCUUUAAUGGUUUAUUAUGUCUACAGCAUAAUAACCUGUGAGGCGAUGAAUACCAUUCGGAGUAUAUACUCAGUUUUGUUUGGCUGUCCUAGUCUGGGCUCCUAUGUCUGGGAUCUCCUCAACAAUCGCACCCAGCCCCUGGUGGGAGGAGUAGAGAGUGGUUUCUUCCAGCCUUUCAGGCCAGGCACAGCAGUUUUUGAAAAUAUUGAAUUCCCUCUGGAUGUCAAAGACGGCAUAAACUUGCUGUCAGUUCUGCUUUGUCUUCUCUGUACAGCCUGCACCAUGUACACCAUGCUUAGAAUCAGAGCUAUGGCACAGCAUCCUCAGGAUGAGGGAGGGAAAAAGAGCAGAGCAACAAACACCAUGCCUACGCAGACUGACACAGAGGAGAAAGGAACCAAAUGCAAAGCAACAGCGUCCAUGUCUACGCAGACUGUCACCGAGGAGAAAGAACCCAGAUGCAAGACAACAGCGUCCAUGUCUACGCAGACUGACACAGAGGAGAAAGAAACCAAAUGCAAAACAACAGCGUCCAUGUCCACGCAGACUGACACAGAGGAGAAAGAACCCAGACACAAGACAACAGCGUCCAUGUCCACGCAGACUGACACAGAGGAGAAGGGAACCAAAAGCACUGUCAGCGUCCCCACGCAAACCAUCACUGAACCAGAACAGCCUAAACCGAUUGCAGUUGCCCCCGUGCAGAAGAAGAAAUCAAAAAGCAAAUCAGUCCGCAUAGUGACUGACGAGGAUGCAGCAGGACCUUCGCACCCAGCAGAAGAGGCAGAGCCAGAGAUCAUCACUCGGUCGCUAUCCCUGGGUGAGCUGCGAGACCUGCGGAGGGAAUUCACCCGCCAGACGAACGAGUCUAUCCUGACCUGGCUGCUCCGCAUCUGGGACGCUGCAGCCAAUGACACCAUUCUGGACGGAAGUGAGGCCAGGCAACUGGGAUCUCUGUCCCGGGAUGUGGUCAUUGACCAGGGGAUCGGGAGAACCCAAGAAACCCUCAGCCUCUGGCGGCGACUGCUUACAAGUGUAAGGGACAGGUACCUUUGUAAAGAAGACCUCCAGGUGCACCAAGGAAAAUGGAGCACAAUGGAACAAGGUAUCCGGUGCCUGAGGGAAUUGGCUGUGCUGGAGAUCAUUUUCUCAGAAGAUGAGAGAUUUCCUAAGAGCCCAGAUGGUGUCCAGUGC